UUGGUGUUGGCGCGGGCCGUCGCCUCCGGUCCGACGAACCGGCAGAUCGCCGGACGCCCCGGCCGGCCCGGCGAUCGGGGCGUCGUCAGCGGA
rnacentral:tRNA from 1 species